UACGGAGGGUGCGAGCGUUGUCCGGAAUCACUGGGCGUAAAGGGCGCGUAGGCGGCCCGGCAAGUCAACGGUGAAAGCUUGGGGCUCAACCCCGAGUCGGCCGUCGAUACUUCCGGGCUGGAGCACUGUAGAGGCAGGUGGAAUUCCGGGUGUAGCGGUGGAGUGCGUAGAGAUCCGGAAGAACACCGGUGGCGAAGGCGGCCUGCUGGGCAGUAGCUGACGCUGAGGCGCGACAGCGUGGGGAGCAAACAGG
rnacentral:rRNA from 1 species